UUGCACGCUGGCGGCCGGCCUCACCCAUGCAAGUCGCGCGGAUGAAGGGAGCUUGCUCCUGGAUUCAGCGGCGGACGGGUGAGUAAUGCCUAGGAAUCUGCCUGGUAGUGGGGGAUAACGUCCGGAAACGGGCGCUAAUACCGCAUACGUCCUGAGGGAGAAAGUGGGGGAUCUUCGGACCUCACGCUAUCAGAUGAGCCUAGGUCGGAUUAGCUAGUUGGUGGGGUAAAGGCCUACCAAGGCGACGAUCCGUAACUGGUCUGAGAGGAUGAUCAGUCACACUGGAACUGAGACACGGUCCAGACUCCUACGGGAGGCAGCAGUGGGGAAUAUUGGACAAUGGGCGAGAGCCUGAUCCAGCCAUGCCGCGUGUGUGAAGAAGGUCUUCGGAUUGUAAAGCACUUUAAGUUGGGAGGAAGGGCAGUAAGUUAAUACCUUGCUGUUUUGACGUUACCAACAGAAUAAGCACCGGCUAACUUCGUG
rnacentral:rRNA from 1 species